UACCUACGGGAGGCAGCAGUGAGGAAUAUUGGUCAAUGGGCGGGAGCCUGAACCAGCCAAGUCGCGUGAGGGAAGACGGUCCUAUGGAUUGUAAACCUCUUUAGGCGGGGAGCAAUGCCGGGCACGCGCGUCCGGAGGGAGAGUACCCGGAGAAAAAGCAUCGGCUAACUCCGUGCCAGCAGCCGCGGUAAUACGGAGGAUGCGAGCGUUAUCCGGAUUUAUUGGGUUUAAAGGGUGCGCAGGCGGGCUGUUAAGCCGGCGGUAAAAAUUCAGGGCUCAACCCUGUCGAGCCGUCGGAACUGGCA
rnacentral:rRNA from 1 species